rnacentral:rRNA from 1 species
AAGAUGGGUCAAGGGACGGAAAUGGGUACCAGCCAUGCCGCUGGGAGUAUAACUGCCGUAUGGGGUGUACACUGCUUUUAUACGGGCACAAACCCCUAUACGUUUAUAGGGCUGAGUGUACGGUAGGGCUAAGGAUGGUCGAUCUUAGUGCUAGCAGCUGCGGUAAUACGGAGGAUCUGAGGGUUAUCCGGAUUUCUUGGGGUUAAAGGGUGCGUAGGCGGCUUCAUAAGACAGGGGUGAAAUUCGGCAGCUCAACUGUCGGCGUGCCUUUGAUACAGAGGGGCAUGAAUUUAGACGAAGGAGGCGGAAUGGGACAAGUAGCGGUAAAAUGCAUAGAUAUGGCCCGGAACCCCAAUUGCGAAGGCAGCUUUCUAGGCCAACAUUGACGCUGAUGCACGAAAGCGUGGGGAUCGAACA